rnacentral:lncRNA from 1 species
CGAAGCCGUGGACCUAAGCAAUGUGGUCUGCAAACCAGAGUCUGAGAAGUGUUGUAUUUUGCCGGGUAAGGUAAAAAGAACUGUACACCGGAGGGAGCUUAUAAGACAUCAACGACGGAAUGUUCAGGCAACAAAAGAAGACAGGACAAGACAAGACAAAAUGAAUCACAGGCUCCAGGCUCAGGGAGAGACCCUUCUUCGUGGGAAGAAGACAGAGGACAGAGGGAGAUAACUGGUGACGUCCCUUAACAGUCCUCAGGUGUCACACCAGGGCAUAUGCGAUCACUUCAGAUCUUGCUAUGAGACAUUAGACACGGUGGAAGGCUACAAAGACAGCUCUGACAACCACUGGAAGAGCUUUGCCAUCCCCUCCCGGGAACUGAUGGGAACAAAUUCCCACAUUGAAAGUUCUGCUGUAAAGCCAG